AACGAACGCUGGCGGCAUGCCUAACGCAUGCAAGUCGAACGAGACCUUCGGGUCUAGUGGCGCACGGGUGCGUAACGCGUGGGAACCUGCCCUUAGGUUCGGAAUAACUCCCCGAAAGGGGUGCUAAUACCGGAUAAUGUCUUCGGACCAAAGAUUUAUCGCCUUUGGAUGGGCCCGCGUUGGAUUAGCUAGUUGGUAGGGUAAAAGCCUACCAAGGCGACGAUCCAUAGCUGGUCUGAGAGGAUGAUCAGCCACACUGGGACUGAGACACGGCCCAGAAUCCUACGGGAGGCAGCAGUGGGGAAUAUUGGACAAUGGGCGAAAGCCUGAUCCAGCCAUGCCGCGUGAGUGAUGAAGGCCUUAGGGUUGUAAAGCUCUUUUACACGGGAUGAUAAUGACAGUACCGGGAGAAUAAGCUCCGGCUAACUCCGUG
rnacentral:rRNA from 1 species